GAUGAACGCUGGCGGCGUGCCUAAUACAUGCAAGUCGAGCGAACAGACGAGGAGCUUGCUCCUCUGACGUUAGCGGCGGACGGGUGAGUAACACGUGGAUAACCUACCUAUAAGACUGGGAUAACUUCGGGAAACCGGAGCUAAUACCGGAUAAUAUAUUGAACCGCAUGGUUCAAUAGUGAAAGACGGUUUUGCUGUCACUUAUAGAUGGAUCCGCGCCGCAUUAGCUAGUUGGUAAGGUAACGGCUUACCAAGGCAACGAUGCGUAGCCGACCUGAGCGGGUGAUCGGCCACGCUGGAACUGAGACACGGUCCAGACUCCUACGGGAGGCAGCAGUAGGGAAUCUUCCGCAAUGGGCGAAAGCUUGACGGAGCAACGCCGCGGGAGUGAUGAAGGUCUGCGGAUCGUAAAACUCUGUUAUUAGGGAAGAACAAAUGUGUAAGUAACUAUGCACGUCUUGACGGUACCUAAUCAGAAAGCCACGGCUAACUAC
rnacentral:rRNA from 1 species